rnacentral:rRNA from 1 species
AUUGAACGCUGGCGGCAGGCCUAACACAUGCAAGUCGAACGAGUGGCGGACGGGUGAGUAAUGUCUGGGAAACUGCCCGAUGGAGGGGGAUAACUACUGGAAACGGUAGCUAAUACCGCAUACCAUGGAAUGUGCCCAGAUGGGAUUAGCUAGGUGAUGGGGUAACGGCUCACCUAGGCGACGAUCCCUAGCUGGUCUGAGAGGAUGCCCAGCCACACUGGAACUGAGCCACGGUCCAGACUCCUACGGGAGGAAGCAGUGGGGAAUAUUGCACAAUGGGCGCAAGCCUGAUGCAGCCAUGCCGCGUGUAUGAAGAAGGCCUUCGGGUUGUAAAGUACGUUCAGCGAGGAGGCGUUACUCGCAGAAGAAGCACCGGCUAACUCCGUGCCAGCAGCCGCGGUAAUAC